rnacentral:tRNA from 1 species
GGAGAGGUGACCGAGUGGUCGAAGGUGCACGAUUGGAAAUCGUGUGUACUGGAGACAGUACCGCGGGUUCGAAUCCCGCCCUCUCCG